AAGGUAAUCUGUCUUAGAACUGAAAAGAAAUUCAAUGUCAAAGAAGAUUAACAUUUAUUGAUUGAGGGUCAUAAAGUAGUGGUGUUAGGGAAAAGGAAUACAUAAUGAUAACUGGUGCAUAAAAGUAUUGUGUAUUUGUAGGUAUAUAUGAAAAAUAUGUUGAAAAUGAUUGUAUAUUUCAUUAAGAUUAUUUUUUUGUUGAUAAAAAUUCUACCCAGAGUGGCAAGAAU
rnacentral:lncRNA from 1 species